UCUCCGUUGGUGUACCAGCGGAGGGAUCAUUACAGGACUCGCAAGACUCCUUCACCCUGUGAACCUCACUACAAGCACGUUGCUUCGGCGGGUGUCCCGGCGGGGGUUUUCCCUCGCCGGGGCGCACAGCCCGCCGGCAGCCUACUAUACUCUGUCUCUUUGCGUUGGCAUCUCGAGAAAAAACAAACAAGUUAAAACUUUCAACAACGGAUCUCUUGGUUCUG
rnacentral:misc_RNA from 1 species